AUUGAACGCUAGCUGGAUGCUUUACACAUGCAAGUCGAACGUCAGCGCGUACUUCGUUCUGGCGGCGAGUGGCGAACGGGUGAGUAAUGUAUCGGAACGUGCCCAGUAGCGGUGGAUAGAUCCGCGAAAGCGUAGCUAAUACCGCAUACGCCCUACGGGGGAAAGCCAGGGAUCUUAAUCCCUUGCACUAUUUUUACCGACGAUAUCGGAUUAGCUAGUUGGUGAGGUAAUGGCUCACCAAGGCGACGAUCCGUAUCUGGUUUGAGAGGCCGACCAGCCAAACUAGGACUGAGACACGGCCCAGACUCCUACGGGAGGCAGCAGUGGGGAAUUUUGGACAAUGGGGGCAAACCUGAUACAGCCAUCCCGCGUGUGGGAUGAAGGCCUUCGGGUUGUAAAGCACUUUUGGCAGGAAAGAAACGUAGCGAGCUAAUACCCCGUGGAACUAACGGUACCUGAAGAAUAAGCACCGGCUAACUACGUG
rnacentral:rRNA from 1 species